rnacentral:lncRNA from 1 species
GCUGCAGCUUGGAGCUCUCUACCUAUCCCUUGAUGCUGCUUUUGCCCUGUGCUGCAAGCUUGGAUGCUACCACUUCUUCGGACAAGGGUAAGUAAUAGAUCCUGGGGGUAGCCUUGGUUUUUCGAAAGAGAUCAUCAAGUGUCAAUGCAGGUGGUUCUGGCUCCGUGGAAGGUGGCGGCAGCGGUGGCGGGGGAAGUCGCUCUCUUACGGUAGGUGCAUCAGACAGUGUCGGAGGUUUUGCAAGGGGAGGAGGCAGCUGCUGCCUAAAAGAAUGUUGACGAGUAGGGGGUUGGGCUGCCUGAGGUGGUUGAAAGUUUGUAGCCUUGGCUGCGGUCGGGCUUGGGCUGAUAGGUGCCGGUGAUUGCGGUGGGGCCUCAACACGUGCCUUGACUUCUUGGGGAUCAACAAACUCUGCGAUCAGAAGAUUCCCACCAUUGGGAGGCCACUGGAGA